rnacentral:rRNA from 1 species
CAAUAGCGUAUAUUAAAGUUGUUGCAGUUAAAAAGCUCGUAGUUGGAUUUCGGGGCGGCCUGGCUGGUCCGCCGCAAGGCGAGUACUGGUCAGCCGCCCUUCCUCUCGAAAGCCCCGACUGCUCUUCGUUGCAGUGGUCGGGUAGUUCGGGACGUUUACUUUGAAAAAAUUAGAGUGUUCAAGGCAGGCCUACGCCUGAAUACAUUAGCAUGGAAUAAUGGAAGAGGACCUCGGUCCUAUUUUGUUGGUUUCCAGGGCCGAAGUAAUGAUUAAGAGGGACAGUUGGGGGCAUUCGUAUUUAAUUGUCAGAGGUGAAAUUCUCGGAUUUAUGAAAGACGAACAACUGCGAAAGCAUUUGCCAAGGAUGUUUUCAUUAA